rnacentral:rRNA from 1 species
AUUGAACGCUGGCGGCAGGCCUAACACAUGCAAGUCGAGCGGAUGAAGGGAGCUUGCUCCUGGAUUCAGCGGCGGACGGGUGAGUAAUGCCUAGGAAUCUGCCUGGUAGUGGGGGAUAACGUCCGGAAACGGGCGCUAAUACCGCAUACGUCCUGAGGGAGAAAGUGGGGGAUCUUCGGACCUCACGCUAUCAGAUGAGCCUAGGUCGGAUUAGCUAGUUGGUGGGGUAAAGGCCUACCAAGGCGACGAUCCGUAACUGGUCUGAGCGGAUGAUCAGUCACACUGGAACUGGGACACGGUCCCGACUCCUACGGAAGGCAGAAGUGGGGAAUAUUGGACGAUGGGCGAAAGCCUGCUCCAGCCAUGCCGAGUGUGUGGAGAAGGUCUUCGGAUUGUAAAGCACUUUAAGUUGGGAGGAAGGGCAGUAAGUUAAUACCUAGCUGUUUUGACGUUACCAACAGAAUAAGCCCCGGCUAACUUCGUG